rnacentral:lncRNA from 1 species
AUCUCGCAUCUAAAAGCUCUGUCCCAAUAUUUCUUCCCACGCUCGAAAUUAAUUAUCUGAAUCUGAAAAAUAGAAAGAAAGAUAAUGAGCUAGACAGCCCAGUAAGUAACAAAUAUCUCAACUAGAUAAUUUAGAUAUUAUAUAAUUUUCAAGAAUAAUGUUGCAAAUAAACAUAAGAGUAUAUUUCAUGCUGAUUUAAUAUAAAUCAAAUAUUUUCAAAUAUUCACAUAUAAUAAAAUCAUAAAUCCGAUUCGAUUCAAAAACACUCGUAACUCAACAGCCUUGACUAUGACCAAUGUUUAACCCCCAUUGGUGGGGUCCAUAGAAUACCAAUGCACAACCCCC